rnacentral:rRNA from 1 species
UACGUAGGGUGCGAGCGUUAAUCGGAAUUACUGGGCGUAAAGCGUGCGCAGGCGGUUUUGUAAGCCAGAUGUGAAAUCCCCGGGCUUAACCUGGGAAUGGCAUUUGGGACUGCAAGGCUUGAGUGCGGCAGAGGAGACUGGAAUUCCUGGUGUAGCAGUGAAAUGCGUAGAUAUCAGGAGGAACACCGAUGCGAAGGCAGGUCUCUGGGCUGACACUGACGCUCAUGUACGAAAGCGUA